rnacentral:rRNA from 1 species
AGAUUGAACGCUGGCGGCAUGCCUAACACAUGCAAGUCGAACGGCAGCGCGGGUAGCAAUACCUGGCGGCGAGUGGCGGACGGGUGAGGAAUACAUAGGAAUCUACCCUGUCGUGGGGGAUAACGUAGGGAAACUUACGCUAAUACCGCAUACGACCGAGAGGUGAAAGCGGCGGACCGCAAGGCGUCGCGCGGCUGGAUGAGCCUAUGUCCGAUUAGCUAGUUGGCGGGGUAAGAGCCCACCAAGGCGACGAUCGGUAGCUGGUCUGAGAGGAUGAUCAGCCACACUGGGACUGAGACACGGCCCAGACUCCUACGGGAGCAGCAGUGGGGAAUAUUGGACAAUGGGCG